rnacentral:rRNA from 1 species
UGCGUAGGUGGCCUGACAAGUCAGAGGUGACAGGCUACGGCUUAACCGUAGUAAGCCUUUGAAACUGACAGGCUUGAGUGCAGGAGAGGAAAGUGGAAUUCCUAGUGUAGCGGUGAAAUGCGUAGAUAUUAGGAGGAACACCAGUGGCGAAGGCGACUUUCUGGACUGUAACUGACACUGAGGCACGAAAGCGUGGGGAGCAAACAGGAUUAGAUACCCUGGUAGUCC